rnacentral:sRNA from 1 species
UUGGAGUUUCACAUUUCAAAUCAAAACGCAAAAAAUACACAUCGUUCUUUCUUUAAAAUGCCUUUGGUUGUGCUAUAGCAGAAAACUUUUCCACUAUUUAUUACAUCCAAGUAGUUCUUAUUACAUAGUCUACAGCCGCGCUCUGCUCUGAAUGUCAUUUGCUCAAAUUCAGUGCAAUGGUUUUAAAUGACACUUAUGGUUUGAGUUUUGCCAUACGAUUAUUGGAUUUUUGUUGUAUUUAUGAACCGUCUGGAUGUUUUAUGGCUUUCAAAACAUUUCAUUUUCAAUACAAACAAAUUUCUUAUAUAUGGACAUAACUGCUUGCCAGUACAAAUUUACUCCAUUCUGAUGAUUCUGAAUACCAGAAAAAAGAUUUAAAUGCAAUUACAAUAAUCAUUUACGUCACAAUAAAUUGCAGCAUAAUUGUUGAUGAUACCGGAUUGGUAAAACGAAAAAGACGAAGAUAGAGGAAAAAACAAAUAAAUAAAUAAAUCCAAUCCAAUCCAAAUAGAAUAUUGAAACUUAAAAAGAGCCGACUGGUUGGAAACUGUAAAACCAAAAUAUUUCACAAAAUUUCCAUCUUCUGCCACUUGCGUUGCGGCACUUAGUGGCGCUAAGGCCGAAACAAGAAUACCAGCAUUCGAGCCCAAAGGUAUUCUCUAGCAAUGCCAAUCACUGUUGCGGGGGCCUUCGUUAGACAGCCACAAAAUCCAAUAAAACUUAAUGGCUGCCCAUAACUGUUAGCUUAAUUGUUGAUGUACAGCAGAAAUCAUCGACAUUCUGUUACAAAUGGAAUUUCAAAUCAUUUCAGCCAUCCAAUCUUCUCCUUCGAAGAACAUUGUUAAUCAAACAAAUUGCCUUGGAUCCUCAGCAAUAGAGUUUGGUAUCACCCAAAGCCUCUGCAGCAGUACCAUAAGCAUUAGAGCAGCGGCCGCCUUAUCGCUCCCUGGCACUUGGUUAACAUUCGUUUUUAUAUAUUUUGUGUUUUUUUUUUAUUACUAAUUAGGUGUGAAAUGCAAGUAAAUCCAAAUCCGCUUGCCAACGUAUAAGGAAGAAAAUAAAACGAUCCAGUUCCAUUUCAUCUUUACGAAACUGGAGGCCUCAUCGAACAGAGAAACCGUCAAAAAAUGGCAGCAUAGUGUUAA